AUUGAACGCUGGCGGCAGGCUUAACACAUGCAAGUCGAGCGGGGUGAUGGUGCUUGCACUAUCACUUAGCGGCGGACGGGUGAGUAAUGCUUAGGAAUCUGCCUAUUAGUGGGGGAUAACAUCUCGAAAGGGAUGCUAAUACCGCAUACGUCCUACGGGAGAAAGCAGGGGAUCACUUGUGACCUUGCGCUAAUAGAUGAGCCUAAGUCGGAUUAGCUAGUUGGUGGGGUAAAGGCCUACCAAGGCGACGAUCUGUAGCGGGUCUGAGAGGAUGAUCGGCCAAACUGGGAAUGAGACGCGGACCAGACUCGGACGGGAGGCAGCAGUGGGGAAUAUUGGACAAUGGGGGAAACCCUGACCCAGCCAUGCCGCGUGUGUGAAGAAGGCCUUAUGGUUGUAAAGCAGUUUAAGCGAGGAGGUGGCUCUGUUGGUUAAUACACAGGAUGACUGGACGUUACUCGCAGAAUAAGGACCGGCUAACUCGGUGCCAUCCGCCUCAGUAA
rnacentral:rRNA from 1 species